AUCCAUUAGCGCUUUUGUGUUUUUGGUGAGAGUGGCGAACGGGUGAGUAACACGUGAGUAACCUGCCCUUUUCUUUGGGAUAAGCCUGGGAAACUGGGUCUAAUACUGGAUGUUCCGGCUUCCUCGCAUGGGGUUGUUGGGAAAGGUUUUUUCUGGAUUGGGAUGGGCUCGCGGCUUACCAGCUUGUUGGUGGGGUGAUGGCUUACCAAGGCUUUGACGGGUAGCCGGCCUGAGAGGGUGGUCGGUCACACUGGGACUGAGAUACGGCCCAGACUCCUACGGGAGGCAGCAGUGGGGGAUAUUGCACAAUGGACGGAAGUCUGAUGCAGCGACGUCGUGUGGGGGAUGAAGGCCUUCGGGUUGUAAACUCCUUUCGCCCGCGGAA
rnacentral:rRNA from 1 species